rnacentral:rRNA from 1 species
AUUGAACGCUGGCGGCAUGCCUUACACAUGCAAGUCGAACGGCAGCACGGGUGCUUGCACCUGGUGGCGAGUGGCGAACGGGUGAGUAAUACAUCGGAACGUACCUUAUCGUGGGGGAUAACGCAGCGAAAGUUGCGCUAAUACCGCAUACGCCCUGAGGGGGAAAGCGGGGGACCGUAAGGCCUCGCGCGAUUAGAGCGGCCGAUGUCUAAUUAGCUUGUUGGUGAGGUAAAAGCUCACCAAGGCGAUGAUCAGUAGCGAGUCUUAGAGGACGAUCAGCCACACUGGGACUGAGACACGGCCCAGGCUCCUACGGGAGGCAGCAGUGGGGAAUUUUGGACAAUGGGGGCAACCCUGAUCCAGCAAUGCCGCGUGAGUGAAGAAGGCCUUCGGGUUGUAAAGCUCUUUUGUCAGGGAAGAAACAGCAGCUCUAACACAGUCUGCGAAUGACGGUACCUGAAGAAUAAGCACCGGCUAACUACGUGCCAGCCGCCGCGGUAA